rnacentral:misc_RNA from 1 species
AACGCAAAUCGCGCUCGAGGCCUCGGCCGAGAGCAUGCCUGCCUCAGCGUCUUUUCCACUCCUCCCCCAUCCGAUCAUGCGAUUGGUCGGGAGGGGGGAGCUGGUCGUUUCGAGCUCGCCUCGAAUCGGCUGAAAGGCAGAAGCGCCACCCGCCUCGCGAAGGGUGACCGAAAGGUGGCAGCCUUCGGGCCGGUCCGAUCGGUUGCCUGGGGUCGAGUGUGCGCUGUCGACCGGAGAACACACCAACUCUUUGACCUGAGUUCAGGCAAGGCUACCCGCUGAACUUAA